AUUGUCCAGAGGUGAAUCGAGGGUGGACGCUGAGCGUGGACAAUGAACUCACUGCCUCUCUUGCUUCUGGUGGUCUUUGUAUUAGGCUACUCAGGCGUUAACAGUAGAUUACUGCGUUAUGGAGAACAAGUGUCAAACCACAAUGAAACAGCAUUUUUAGAACAGAUCUGCCCAAAGCCUAAUAGCAGGGAUCGAAAGUACGUUCGAAUCAAGACCUUCAAUGACAAGUACGUGUGGGCUUACCCCACACAUAAAGGUGAUACGUCAUACCUGCGUACGCGCUGUUGCGGUGCAAAAGAUGCCGUUGGACGAAAAGAUAUAACCAUACCUGGAACAAAAACAACAUUCAUUGUUCACUGCCUUAGAGCCAACAAUGAAAAUGUAUUCAGAUUUGAGAUUCUCUCCAGCUCCAAAAAUCCAUCUGGCUAUUACUUCGACGCAGAUCCAGUUUACUCUCAGUAUGGCGUGUACGCCAACAAGCUGACGAGAGUCAGUGCCAAAGACCGGUACAGAUUCAAUUUUAUCGUAUCUCGCAAGAGGGGCCCUGUGAUUGGCAUCCGAACUCAAGGAAAAGCAGGUGAAAGGUAUGAAAGUAUGAGGAGUAACUGGUUGAAGUUUCAUGAUGGCGGCCGUGGAAGUGUUACGGGAUAUAAGAACCUUUAUACUAGAAACUUCCCAAGCAUGGAGGACACAUUUACAUUAGAAGCAGUACCCAGCGGAUGCGUGACUCCUGGUGAGUAUGUAUUACAGAUGUCAGUUAUGGCCGCACCAUGGCAUACCAGUCAGGAGGACUGUGAGAGUAAACCAGAUAGAUGCUUUUGGUCGGAUGGGUGGGAUACACGAAGGCGCAAUAUGAUGACAGCCAUAUGCUACUACAGCAAAGGUAGGAAAAUUAUCAUCUAAGAGCCAUCUCUAUAAAGAAGAAAAAUUAGAUGGGCUUGAAACCUUCAUCUUUAAGACUUGAUUCGGUGUGUUAUCAGUACAGGGGAGCCAAGAUAAAGUACCUGCGCUUGUCAGCUAAACAAUGUGAAGCUGAAAACCACUGCUAC